rnacentral:rRNA from 1 species
AUUGAACGCUGGCGGCAGGCCUAACACAUGCAAGUCGAGCGGUAGCACAGAGAGCUUGCUCUCGGGUGACGAGCGGCGGACGGGUGGGUAAUGUCUGGGAAACUGCCUGAUGGAGGGGGAUAACUACUGGAAACGGUAGCUAAUACCGCAUAACGUCGCAAGACCAAAGUGGGGGACCUUCGGGCCUCAUGCCAUCAGAUGUGCCCAGAUGGGAUUAGCUAGUAGGUGGGGUAACGGCUCACCUAGGCGACGAUCCCUAGCUGGUCUGAGGGGAUGACCAGCCACACUGGAACUGAGACACGGUCCAGACUCCUACGGGAGGCAGCAGUGGGGAAUAUUGCACAAUGGGCGCAAGCCUGAUGCAGCCAUGCCGCGUGUGUGAAGAAGGCCUUCGGGUUGUAAAGCACUUUCAGCGGGGAGGAAGGCGGUGAGGUUAAUAACCUCAUCGAUUGACGUUACCCGCAGAAGAAGCACCGGCUAACUCCGUGCCAGCAGCCGCGGUAAUACGGAGGGUGCAAGCGUUAAUCGGAAUUACUGGGCGUAAAGCGCACGCAGGCGGUCUGUCAAGUCGGAUGUGAAAUCCCCGGGCUCAACCUGGGAACUGCAUUCGAAACUGGCAGGCUAGAGUCUUGUAGAGGGGGGUAGAAUUCCAGGUGUAGCGGUGAAAUGCGUAGAGAUCUGGAGGAAUACCGGUGGCGAAGGCGGCCCCCUGGACAAAGACUGACGCUCAGGUGCGAAAGCGUGGGGAGCAAACAGGAUUAGAUACCCUGGUAGUCCACGCCGUAAACGAUGUCGAUUUGGAGGUUGUGCCCUUGAGGCGUGGCUUCCGGAGCUAACGCGUUAAAUCGACCGCCUGGGGAGUACGGCCGCAAGGUUAAAACUCAAAUGAAUUGACGGGGGCCCGCACAAGCGGUGGAGCAUGUGGUUUAAUUCGAUGCAACGCGAAGAACCUUACCUGGUCUUGACAUCCACAGAACUUUCCAGAGAUGGAUUGGUGCCUUCGGGAACUGUGAGACAGGUGCUGCAUGGCUGUCGUCAGCUCGUGUUGUGAAAUGUUGGGUUAAGUCCCGCAACGAGCGCAACCCUUAUCCUUUGUUGCCAGCGGUUAGGCCGGGAACUCAAAGGAGACUGCCAGUGAUAAACUGGAGGAAGGUGGGGAUGACGUCAAGUCAUCAUGGCCCUUACGACCAGGGCUACACACGUGCUACAAUGGCAUAUACAAAGAGAAGCGACCUCGCGAGAGCAAGCGGACCUCAUAAAGUAUGUCGUAGUCCGGAUUGGAGUCUGCAACUCGACUCCAUGAAGUCGGAAUCGCUAGUAAUCGUAGAUCAGAAUGCUACGGUGAAUACGUUCCCGGGCCU